rnacentral:rRNA from 1 species
CAGCAGCCGCGGUAAUACGAAGGGGGCUAGCGUUGCUCGGAAUCACUGGGCGUAAAGGGUGCGUAGGCGGGUCUUUAAGUCAGGGGUGAAAUCCUGGAGCUCAACUCCAGAACUGCCUUUGAUACUGAAGAUCUUGAGUUCGGGAGAGGUGAGUGGAACUGCGAGUGUAGAGGUGGAAUUCGUAGAUAUUCGCAAGAACACCAGUGGCGAAGGCGGCUCACUGGCCCGAUACUGACGCUGAGACACGAAAGCGUGGGGAGCAAACAGGAUUAGAGACCCCUGUAGUCCCUGUCUCUUAUAA